rnacentral:rRNA from 1 species
GACGCUGGCGGCAGGCUUAACACAUGCAAGUUCGAGCGGUAGCACAGGGAGAGCUUGCUCCCUGGGUGACGAGCGGCGGACGGGUGAGUAAUGUCUGGGAAACUGCCUGAUGGAGGGGGAUAACUACUGGAAACGGUAGCUUAUACCGCAUAACGUCGCAAGACCAAAGAGGGGGACCUUCGGGCCUCUUGCCAUCAGAUGUGCCCAGAUGGGAUUAGCUAGUAGGUGGGGUAAUGGCUCACCUAGGCCACGAUCCCUAGCUGGUCUCAGUGCAGCCAUGCCGCGUGUUGAAAGAAGGCCUUCGGGUUGUAAAGCACUUUCAGGCAGGAGGAAGGUGAUGAGCUUAAUAC